GACGAACGCUGGCGGCGUGCCUAACACAUGCAAGUGGAGCGACGAACCAGGCUUCGGCCUGGAGCAAAGCCGCGAACGGGUGAGUAACACGUGGGUAACCUGCCCCGAUGACCGGGACAACCCGAGGAAACUCGGGCUAAUACCGGAUGUGUUCUCCAUGCUCAAGCGUGGAGAGAAAAGGAAGCUUCGGCCUCCGCAUCGGGAGGGGCCCGCGGCCCAUUAGCUUGUUGGUGGGGUAAAGGCCCACCAAGGCAACGAUGGGUAGCUGGUCUGAGAGGACGAUCAGCCACACUGGGACUGAGACACGGCCCAGACUCCUACGGGAGGCAGCAGUGGGGAAUCUUGCGCAAUGCGCGAAAGCGUGACGCAGCAACGCCGCGUGAGGGAAGAA
rnacentral:rRNA from 1 species